rnacentral:rRNA from 1 species
CCUACGGGAGGCAGCAGUGGGGAAUAUUGCACAAUGGGGGAAACCCUGAUGCAGCGACGCCGCGUGAGCGAUGAAGUAUUUCGGUAUGUAAAGCUCUAUCAGCAGGGAAGAAAAUGACGGUACCUGACUAAGAAGCCCCGGCUAACUACGUGCCAGCAGCCGCGGUAAUACGUAGGGGGCAAGCGUUAUCCGGAUUUACUGGGUGUAAAGGGAUCGUAGACGGUCCUGCAAGCCAGAUGUGAAGGCCCGGGGCUCACCCCCGGGACUGCAUUUGGAACUGUAAGGCUGGAGUGUCGGAGAGGCAGGCGGAAUUCGUGGUGUAGCGGUGAAAUGCGUAGAUAUUAGGAGGAACACCAGUGGCGAAGGCGGCCUGCUGGACGAUGACUGACGUUGAGGCUCGAAAGCGUGGGGAGCAAACAGGAUUAGAUACCCUAGUAGUC